CUUCCUCCAGGUCCUUCGAGGAAGACAUAGGGGGCUUGUAAUGGGAUCCAUCAUACUUGGACCAAAAGGGCUGUAGUUGUUGCCCUGCGAUCCUUAAGGAGACGCAAGAAACUCACCUGGGAGAACACUUCUCACACCAAUAAAAUGGGUUAGUGGAUUUGUCCCCUUGGUGAAAAAGCAGGAGUGAUGACCGAAACCCUUGACAGCACAUAAAGCAUGGUGCUCAGCCACCCAGAUGGACGCUGGCCAGUAUGUGAGAUCAGCACAGACUGCAGAAUGUCGCCGCAUCAUGAAUGAGGACACUGCCCGGUGACCAGUCUCCAGGUUGGAAGAUUCCUCCCUUGUCCCUGCCUUUCCUAAAAAAAGAAACCAGCUCAUUGCAGCCUGAGGCUCUUUCUUUUAGAGGAUUCCUCCUUUCCUCUUCUGGAAGUUCGAGCGAUAGUCUUUUUAAGACUCAGAUAUACCUUUGACUCUGCUCUGCCUGCCUGUGCCCUGGGACCUGACCUCCAUGGCCUGCAUCUCUUGGGCUUUCUUGUCCUCUGGCUUCCAUUUGUCUUCAAUGGAUGUACCAGCAGGAAACCAGAGAUCCAGAGGAGAGAGCAGUUAGAAUGUUUACUCUGAUGGCUGCAGAUUUGGCAGUGGCUGCAUUCCUCAAUCUAUGGCCACAUCUCCUGGUGGGUGGCCUCUUUCCCAUGACGAUGGGCUCACUGGCUUCCACUAACACUGCUCCCUCCCCUUGUCCCUUUGUGCCUAGGGGAGGGGAAGUCUUCUCACUCUUGCUAAUUCCUGAGUACUUAACCAUUUAUUGUUGAGUCCAUUAAUCCUGCCAGCACCUGUGUCAACAGUCUUUCCAUUAAACUCGCUUCAGUUAAGCUUUGGAUGUA
rnacentral:lncRNA from 1 species